UACGUAGGUGGCAAGCGUUGUCCGGAAUUAUUGGGCGUAAAGCGCGCGCAGGCGGUCCUUUAAGUCUGAUGUGAAAGCCCACGGCUCAACCGUGGAGGGUCAUUGGAAACUGGAGGACUUGAGUGCAGAAGAGAAGAGUGGAAUUCCACGUGUAGCGGUGAAAUGCGUAGAGAUGUGGAGGAACACCAGUGGCGAAGGCGACUCUUUGGUCUGUAACUGACGCUGAGGCGCGAAAAGCGUGGGGGAGCAAACAGGG
rnacentral:rRNA from 1 species